CCAACGACCAAAGCAAAGGACAGCAGAACUGACUGACACAUUGCUCAGAAAAUAUCCAAAGCUCUGGUCUUGCUCUGUCACCCACACUGGAGUGCAAUGCCACCAUCUUGGCUCACUGCAGCCUUGACCUCCUUGGGCUUAAGUGAUCCUCCUGCUUCAGCCUCCCAUGUAGCUGGGACUACAGGUGUGCACCACCACACCAGCUAAUUUUUUUUUUUUUUUUUUGAGACAGAAUCUUGCUCUGUCACCCAGGCUACAGUGCAGUGGUGCAAUCUCGGCUCACUGCAAGCUCUGCCUCCCAGGUUCAAGCAAUUCUUCUGCCUCAGCCUCCCAAGUAGCUGGGACUACAGGAACCCACCACCAUGCCCAGCUAAUUUUUGUAUUUUUAGUAGAGAUGGGGUUUCACCAUAUUGGCCAGGCUGGUCUUGAACUCCUGACUUCAUGAUCCGCCCGCCUCCACCUCCCAAAGUGCUGGGAUUACAGGUGUGAGCCACCGUGCCCGGGCCCACACCAGCUAAUUUUUAACUGGGCUCAAGUGAUCCUCCCAUCUCAGCCUCACAAAGUGCUGGAAUUCCAGGCAUGAGCCACCGCACCCAGCAUGAAGCACAGAUUCUUGAACUGGUUUGUCGUGGCAGUUGGUGCUGAUCACUCUAAUGAAUACAGCUUGCCUGUGCCAUGAUCUCAAUCUGGGGCACCAGUUAA
rnacentral:antisense_RNA from 1 species